AAAGCCUCCUAAGGACUCUCCCUGCCUCCAGCCCUGCUCUCUCUCUGUCUGCCACACUACAUCCCGACGCACAGGAGGGAUUGCUUCCCUCCUCGAAACCCAUCAAUCCUUCCCCAUUGGCCACGUGGUAAAAAUGGAACAAAUUGACCUGGCACUGAAAGCCCUGCUCUAACUCGAAAGCUGGCCCCCCCAUUUCCUUUCUUUCCCCAUUUCUCCUCUCUUUCUAUGGUCAGUUCAUUGAUUAAGUUUGCCAUUCUACUUUAUUCGCUUAUCACCUCCUAUGUGCCAGGAGCUGCAUUACACUCUGGGGAACAAUGUGAGAGCCCUGUUGUCAUGGGGCUCACGGCCUCCUGGGAGAUACAGACACGCACACUGGUGAGUGCCGGCCGUGCAGUUGGGUGAGUGCCGUAACAUGGGAAAUGGAGGGUCAGCUGGAGGGAGCCCAUUGGAGGGGAGCCUGAUCUUCCUGGGGUGAGGGUACGAUAUCUAGCACUCAAGAUGGUUAGGAUGCAGACUGACAGAGUCAGGUGUGGACGGUGGGAGUGGAAAGCGUGCCCCAUCAAGAGUGACUCUGGUGUGAAAGAGGGCGCAGGAAGUUGGGGAGACUGACACAACUAUGGCAGUUCACGGCUUGGGAAGCAGCCCAGUUUCUGAAGGUCCUGGUGAGCCUUGCCUGGACCUUUUCCUGGAAGAAAAGGAAUCGGAAGCAGGGUGUGGUCUCCGCCAUCCUUGCUGCGCAGCCUGGCAGGUACUCUCAGACUCUCAGGCCUUCGCCAGGGCUGGUGUUUCUCCCUCACGGCCCCUCCCUCCUUUCCCCACCUCUCCCUGUUCUCCUCCGGCUGUGGUUCUACCCAUCUUUCAUGGGUCCCUUCAAAUGCCAUCUGGAUCUGGGAUCAGUAUUCAUUGUUCCUUCCUCUGGACACUUUGAGUCUAUCACUGGUAUGUUACUGUUUAUUGUGUUCCACCUUAUAUUUUAUGUCAGUUGCACCUGUUUUUCUCCCUCACAGGACUGAAAGUUCCUUAAAGGGCAUAUUAACCUUGGAAUAUUUACUUCUGCAUUUCCCACAGCACUUAGCAUACAAUGCUUUGAGCCAGGCUUUCCUCAAGCUCCAGUUCCUCUGCUUAUUAGCAACGCGAUCUUGGACGAGUUACUUUAUCUGUGAGACCUCGAGUUGUCUCAUCUAUAGGAUGGGGAUCUUGAUUUUUAUUGCACAAGGUAAUUGUGAGGCUCACCUGGUUAGCACUCAAUAAGCAUAAGUUGCCCUCCUCGCUCCUCUGUUCUCUAGCUCAUAAAGAUUGCUGCAACAUCUUGGGAAAGCAUCCCUAAGGGAGGGGUACCUCACUUUUCCUGUGGGUCCAGAGGAAGUGUCUGGUGCCCAGGUGAGAUCCCAUCUGCACUGGUUUGCUGAGUACCUGGGCAGAAAGGCAGGAUAUCAACAUCAUCGGUGGAGCCUUGUUUAUCAGUGGUGGGCGACACCACCCAAUUCUAAUCUGAUCAUUAUUAUUUUUUUUAACACCUUCCAUGGAACACUCAUCCUUAAUGUAAACAAAAAGAAAAUGCUGGAAAGGAAUCGCAAAACAAAUUAAAUCAUGUGCGUUUCCUUGUCUAGGAUUAUGCCCUAAACCAAGGUAGGCUCCCAGGGAGAGGAGAAACAGCGGUCUGCCUAUUAGUCUUUCCCUUUUCUACCUGGUCGCUGCUCAGCCUGUGUAAGGAAUCUGUACUCUGAGACGACAAGGGUCAUUGUCAUGGCCCUGGUCAUCCUUGACAGCACCAUCAGCAGCAGGUUGCUUCUUCCCCUCAUCACUGCCAUUUGGUGGGGGGGCGGCAAGGCCGAGCCCCACCUCCUAUGCCAUUCUCUGGAGCCCUCAUCUGCAUACAUAUUCUCGAAAGUCCCAAUCCUGCGUUUGUACAAACUUGAUUCUCACUGCAACCCUGCGAGGCAGGUUGAACAACUGCCAUUAUCUUAAUCAGUGAGGAAUCCAGUUGCAGAGGAGUCAGGUGACUUGCCCAAGUGAUGGCACGAGCCGGGAGAGGAGAGGGGGCCUGCAGGGCUGGGGCUGAGACUCAGGUGGCUUGAGCCUGAAGAGGGUCAUUCGAAAGUGAGGACAGCCUUGUUUCUGGGCAGCCAGCCUUGGUUCCUCCUGAUAUAAUGGUGUCUGAGGAAUUUUUUUAAAGCACCAGGGAAAGCCAAUUCCUUUUUCUACCUCCUUUUGGUACUUGGAACUCCCACUGUGUGCCUGGGACAUCGAAGUGUUGGCUGCAUGAAUAAAGAUUGAAGGAGCACAUGAAGAAUAAAAAGAAGAUAAGAGUUUGCCCUGGGGUUUAUGAGGCGGGUGUGAUUUCUGGAAUAUUCCACAGAUGCUCUUAACCUUCCUGCCUUGACUCAUAGACGUGUGAAAUCCCAUCAACAUAUUCAUCCUCGUUGAAAGUACUAGAGACAGAUCUUCCCUCUCUCUAUUGCUUUACUCAUGUUUCCUCAUGGGAAGAACAGCUGUGUUGUCAUAUUGGGGAUACUGGGAAAGACUGGUGUUCACUGAGUCACAUCUGUCUGUGGAGCAGGGUUUCACGUCUCUUUCUCCUUCUGGACCUGCUGGAUUCUGACAUAGUUCCUUGCACUUUUGCUCUUCGUGCUUUAAACUACCUUCCCUCUCCCUGCAGCUGUUUUAGGAAAAGUGUUGGCUAAAGAACAGAGAUGAUUCCUUUCUUUUUUUGCCAGCCUCUUAAUUAAUUAAAAAAACAAGUCUACUUCAAUCAGGUAGGGUGUGCAAGGUUUAGCAUUCCAAGAGACACAUAUCAGCAAAUGGAUUUUUCAACAAGACCUUUUCCAUUUUCUACUCAAGAUAAUAUUGAGAUAUAAUCGUGUGUCACCUGCACUGCCUUCUCAGCUGUCUGCUGGAGAGAGUUCCUUCCUUGACCACAGCAUGACUCACCCGGCCCAGAGGAAAAUGCAGAGCCUGGAGAGGUGAAUUUUUCUGAGACUGAAAUCUGGAAGACAGCCUCUCAGAUGGCUCUGAUGGACUGCUCCUAAGAGGUCCCCUCGACUUGGGUUGGAGCCACAUGGCUAUUUCCUGCUCGUGGAUGGAGAGCGAGGGAAAGAGCCGGCAUGGCGCCUUUCUCUGCCGUGGCCGCCUUAGAGGCCCCUGCUCCAGACGCAGCAUAACAAGACGGAGAACUGUUUGACCCAUCCUCGAAUUCUUACACCUGGAAAAUAAAGUGUCAUGAUAAUCCAUGGAGAUUUCCUAACUUGUCUGUUACUGCAGAAGAGUCUGCUCCAUCCUGCCCGAUAUGCCAACCGA